UUACGGUCAAAUCACGCUGAAAACACCGGUUCUCGUUCGAUCACCGAAGUUAAGCAUCGUAGAGCCAGGUCAGUACUUAGAUGGGGGACCGCUUGGGAACACCUGGUACUGUAA